rnacentral:rRNA from 1 species
CCUACGGGGGGCAGCAGUGAGGAAUAUUGGUCAAUGGGCGUAAGCCUGAACCAGCCAAGUCGCGUGAAGGAUGAAGGUUCUAUGGAUCGUAAACCUCUUUUAUAAGGGAAUAAAAUGUGGGACGUGUCCUGUUUUGUAUGUACCUUAUGAAUAAGGAUCGGCUAACUCCGUGCCAGCAGCCGCGGUAAUACGGAGGAUCCGAGCGUUAUCCGGAUUUAUUGGGUUUAAAGGGUGCGUAGGCGGCCUGUUAAGUCAGCGGUGAAAGUCUGUGGCUCAACCAUAGAAUUGCCGUUGAAACUGGGAGGCUUGAGUAUGUUUGAGGCAGGCGGAAUGCGUGGUGUAGCGGUGAAAUGCUUAGAUAUCACGCAGAACCCCGAUUGCGAAGGCAGCCUGCCAAGCCAUGACUGACGCUGAUGCACGAAAGCGUGGGGAUCAAACAGGAUUAGAUACCCGAGUAGUC